CGGCGUGGGCGGCGCCCUGAGCUGGGAGAACCGCCGCGGGAGACGCACGCGGGCGUUGCGGGGAGCUCUGCCUCCGCCUUGCCCUGGGUACCCUGGCAGCAGAAGGGGAGGGUCGCACUUCACACUGCUGUUCAGGGCGAUGAGGCCUUUUUAUGGGUGACCCUUCCUUUGGCUUGGACAGCUUCCUCCCUCCCUACCAUGUGCCAGACGCGGCCAGAACAUUUUACUAACGUCGUCCCCAUGGACACGUAACAGCUUGGGAGGGAAGCGAUCAUGAGCCCCUUUUACAGGCCUGCGUGCCACUGACUAAUUCCGAGCUUGCUGGCCACCUUCAGCGCCCUGUGGGCGUGAGCACCCCAUCCCGCGGCAGCCUGGCCGCUCUUCCCAACGCCAGCGCUACAGUUUGGCAUUCCCUGCCCAUUCCGCUAGGUCGUGCUGGGACGGAGGUGGCAGGAGCCCGGAGUCGGAACCCGGCCGGUACCCAGGAGUAUGACCUUGAGCCAAAUCCCAACCUCAGGAUGUCUCCCUUCCUUUGAUAAAAUGAGAUAUCUGAGCAUGUUUGUAGGAAACAAGUGAGGAAAAGGAGCACAGAAACAGGAAUGAGUGAAGAGACAAGCUCCAAGGAGAGUCAAUUAGGAACAGAAUCAAAGGUACGGGGAAGAGAGGAGAUUUGGUCUUGCCAAUCAACAAAAGGAACUUCUUCAAGACUAGAACAAAUGAAGAGAAAGCAAAGACCACCAUUGGGAGAAUGGGAGGUAUUUAUAUAUAGAAGAGAGAAAAAAAGGAAGAUCCUGAAAUAGCCUUAAUUUUCUCAAUAAAGUAAAAGGUGAAAUCUUCUGCAAAUGCAAAUUCCUGGCUUCCUCUAUCUCUAGUUUGCUGGUGUUUGGUAAGACAAUUGUCAUUGGCCUCUAUCAUCAGAGGACCCUGAAGAGUGGGGGCUU